rnacentral:tRNA from 1 species
UUCCUCCUUAGCUCAGUUGGUUAGAGCAUCUGACUGUUAAUCAGAGGGUCACUGGUUCAAGUCCAGUAGGGGGAGCAAG